UCGCUUUGGCUGCGCAUAGACUAAAAUUGGAACCAUAUAGAGAAGAUUAGCAUGGCCACUGAGCAAGAAUGACACGAACAUUCAUGAAAUAGCUCAUAUUUUU